ensembl:lncRNA
CAGCUAGCGACACGGUGACUUUAUUCACCCGCUUCGGCUGUUAUCAGUCCAUACAAUGGGCGUUAUUAGCAGAAAUCAGUCCCAUAGAUAUGGGCCAUCUCCUGCUAGAUUGUUCAGAAGCUUGUUCUCAUCCAUCCAGAUGGAGGAUCACUAACAGGAGCGUCUCCAGAAUCCACUCUGGCUGGAAUCCGGUGGAUACAGCAGUGUUACAGGUUAAUACACGAUACUGAUCCCUGAUGGGAGAAUCAUAACCUCUGCCAACAAAGAAGCCUGGUGGAUAUUUGUUUGCAGUCUGAUGAUGGGACACCAUGCUCUGCAUCUUCAAAGUUUGUCUCUUGAUUAUUAUUCAUACACAGUAAUGUGAAGCAUGCUCAUAUCUAGUAUAACUGGACCAACCUGGUGCUCUUCAUUUAUGGAGGCUGUUGAGUCUGAAUGUUGGAUGUUGUGUAUCUCGUGUUCUCUGGGCUUUGUUGUCCUCAGUCUUUUUGCAGGAUCAGAAAACAAAACCAGGAUGACCGUAAAUGUUUCUUCUCCAAUUGGAUGAUGAUAAGACUGUGACACGGGAUGCCACCUUUAGUCUUGUGAUGAAGCAAAGCUCAGGAAGAAGUGUGAUUAAAUGGUACCCACAUGUGUGCUGCUGAGAAGGAUGUACAGGGGCACCUGCAGCCAAAUCCAAGCCUCCUCAGGUUAGUUGUAGUUGCAGAAUGCUUUAGGACUGAGACAGCUGAGGCAUCAAAUGUUUCAUUAAACGGAUGAAAAAGAGAAGUUUCUUCCCUGUAAUUAUCACUUUUUAAAAUCUGUAGCAACUUCAGGUCUGUCAGCGUGCUGAGGUCACAGAAACAAGAAAAGCAGCUUCAGACUUCAGAGUGUUGUUUACAGUUUUCUGUCAUCAUGAUCUCCCCUGAAGUUUAUCACUAUUAGGCAAGCAAGCAGAGCGGCAGUUUGUGCUCACAGAUGGUGACGGUGUGGAGAGACGGUGGUGUUUCCUCAGAAGAACUAGCAGAGUCACAAAGGGCACGAGUCUUUCUCACCACCUUGACUUGUUGAUCAGUGGAUACACUUGUCUCCCCUUUAAAGAAGAUACUCUUAGAGAGAGACGAUCAGAGUCAUCCUUAAAUAUGGGAAGGAUAUCACUAUUAGACUGUCUAACCUGCAGGAGCAGCACUGAAUGAUCACCACACAUGAUCAGUUCCUGCAACAUUCAGCAUCUGAUCUGCCAUCUGUGUGCUUCUGCUUUUGUGUCAAAUGUCAAACAGCUGGAGAGGAAACUACACCAGUGUACUGGGAUGUUUCAGCAACACGUGCCAGACGCUGUUCCUUCAUGGUGACAUCACCAGAGACGGCCCCGCCCACCUCAUGACCUCGCCAUUGAUCAUGAUGAUUUUAAUGAUGACAGCGAGCGGAACUAAGACUGUAAAAAUCAGAAUGUUUAGAUGCUUUCUAUUUAUUCAUGAAUACUGAGAGCCUCUUUCUGUGUUUUGUCUGUUUUGUUUUUUUUUACCUCAUUUGUUACUAACAAAGUUCACCAAACUCACACAGUUUACAUUCUGUAUGUUUCCAUCUUUACCAGCCACAGUCUACCUGCAAUUAAGAAAAUAAUCCUUACAAAUUGUCGUUUUUCUCUUUUGUAAUUUUGUAAUUCAGUGAAUAUACUGCGCUGCGUCUCACAUUGCUUUAAGUUUUUCCAGUGUCCAGUUAUUUUUUACUGUUGUUUGAACUCUCUGCAUGUUUGACCCUGUAGACUGUUUGAUGGACUGCUUGUCUUCCUGUUUGUAACCGCCGCCU